AGGUUGACCAACCAUCUUGGUUUCCCUGGGACUGAGUAGUUUCCUGAGAUGUAGGAAUUUUACUGCUAAA
rnacentral:pre_miRNA from 14 species